ACUCGUCCUGUCGCGCGCAUAUAACCUCUAAAAAUUGAUCUCUACAUUGAAAUCAAAGAUGACACAUAAUUAUCGAGACAUUAAUUUACAAAACUUCCUGCCAGUUUAAGUUAAGCGUCUCGUUAUCGAUGUAAAAUUUUCCUUCCCCGAUUCUCACGUAAAAAUCAUGAAAACUCGCUCGACCCGAUGUAGGUCAAUUAGGUGCAACUCGCGCGUUCGGUGAAAGCGGAGAGAAAAAAAGGACACGAGAAAGUGCAAGAAGUAUUGAAAACAAAUAUAAAUAAAUAAAUGAAAAAGGAGUCGAUCUAACUCCAACUCGGACAAACCUCGCUACCGAUCCGGCGAAGAUCGCACCGUCACCAUCAACGAUGCACGACGUGAUGGCAACUAACAUGCUUCGGCGUGAGCCGCGAUGUAAUAUAUGUCCUACGGGCGCGCGGGAAUCGAUAGGGAACGUUUGAAGGACGUUUGACGCGCGGCCUGUCACACCGCGCCGGAGCCCGCCAAUCGCCACGUCGCCCGCGUAGAAAAUCACUAGACGCCCGAGACGAAGCGCAAGCUUAGAUCCCUUAUCUAUUUUCCCGCGCGCGAGUAUAUAGUUAAUGCUCGACGAGAUUAGGAGGAGGCGAAGCAUCGAUUUCGCACACGCGAAUCGCUUGCUUUUUUUAUCCUUUUAUUCGGAGAAGGAAAGAAAAUAUAGACAAAUGUUGUAAUUUUUUGAAAGAUGGAUGAAAAUUUCGAAGAGCGGUAUAAUUUUUAAUUCAUGAUGAUUGCAAGAGGAAAGAUCGCACUUAUAAGAGAGAAGAAUAAUGUUUUAUAAAUUAUUUGCCUGACACAGAUAAAGAAUGAAAAAUUCAUUCGAGAAAAUGUGUUUACAUCAGAUGUAUAAAAUCGUUAAUUUCGCGAUGCCUCCUAUAAAUACCGCGCUCUUCUCCAAUAAAGAUCGAAUUACGUCAAUCCGAAAAUCGUGGUAAGGGAAGUGGAAUAAUAUGUGCGCACGCUUAAUAAUGGCAAUUAGACAGUUCGAUUAAACAUAUUGUAUCGUUAGGGGCAACAACGUUUUGUUGAUGAACCGACCUUGCGAUCGACGUCGUGCAUUGCAGCAAUAUCUCAUCGUCUGUCUUAAGGAGAAUAAAAAAAAAGCUUUCCUACCUCGGUCGAAGUUCGUCUGCAGAAAGUAAAAGAUAAUUGCUGCAUAUAACGCGAAAUUUUACUUGACGAAUCAUCUCGUUCUCACAACGGGAAGUCGGGGGGCCUCGAGACUUACUGACACUGACAUAAUAAAUGUUUUCGUAAUAUAUCGCAAUGUUGAUAAUUGCAGUAUUUACAUUAUAAACGAGUUUAUACUUUACUCGUUAUAAAUAUUAAUCAAAAGUGUUUUAUUUUUAUUUCAUCAGAAUUAUAUAUGGAUUAGAGAAUAUCUACGAAUCUUUCUCCGCAGUGUUUUUUUUUAUUUUGUUUCACGAAAAGCUCCCUACUUUGAUAUUAUAUAUAUUUGAUAAUUAAAUCAUUUCAGUCAUUUCCUCAUAAAUUCAUAGAAUUCUAAUUUAAAAAUUCUUUACAGUUUUAUCUCAUAUAUAUAAGUAUGAUAUUUAUUCUUCUUCUAUUAUUAGAGAAUUAAUUUAGCGAUUUUUGUCCAGCAAUUCUCUAAAUAAAUUUUCUUUCUAUGUA